GGCUGGUUACCUCAGUUGGUUAGAGCGUCGUACUAAUAACGCGAAGGUCGCGGGUUCGAUACCCGUACUGGCCA